rnacentral:rRNA from 1 species
AUUGAACGCUGGCGGCAUGCCUUACACAUGCAAGUCGAACGGCAGCACGGGAGCAAUCCUGGUGGCGAGUGGCGAACGGGUGAGUAAUGUAUCGGAACGUGCCCAGUCGUGGGGGAUAACGUAGCGAAAGCUACGCUAAUUCCGCAUACGAUCUGUGGAUGAAAGCGGGGGACCGUAAGGCCUCGCGCGAUUGGAGCGGCCGAUAUCAGAUUAGGUAGUUGGUGGGGUAAAGGCCUACCAAGCCGACGAUCUGUAGCUGGUCUGAGAGGACGACCAGCCACACUGGGACUGAGACACGGCCCAGACUCCUACGGGAGGCAGCAGUGGGGAAUUUUGGACAAUGGGCGCAAGCCUGAUUCGGCAAUGCCGCGUGCAGGAUGAAGGCCUUCGGGUUGUAAACUGCUUUUGUACGGAGCGAAAAGGCUCUCUCUAAUACAGGGGGCUCAUGACGGUACCGUAAGAAUAAGCACCGGCUAACUACGUGCCAGCAGCCGCGGUAA